CCUACGGGAGGCAGCAGUGGGGAAUAUUGCGCAAUGGGCGAAAGCCUGACGCAGCGACGCCGCGUGAGGGAUGAAGGUCUUCGGAUCGUAAACCUCUGUCAGCAGGGAAGAACGGUCACUGUGCUAAUCAGCAGUGAAUUGACGGUACCUGCAAAGGAAGCACCGGCUAACUCCGUGCCAGCAGCCGCGGUAAUACGGAGGGUGCGAGCGUUAAUCGGAAUUACUGGGCGUAAAGCGCUCGUAGGCGGUAUGUCAAGUCAAGGGUGAAAUCCCCGCGCUCAACGUGGGAACUGCCUUUGAAACUGGCAAACUGGGGUGUGUGAGAGGAUAGUGGAAUGCCAGGUGUAGGAGUGAAAUCCGUAGAUAUCUGGGGGAACAUCAGUGGCGAAGGCGACUAUCUGGCACAUAACUGACGCUGAGGAGCGAAAGCGUGGGUAGCAAACAGGAUUAGAUACCCGAGUAGUC
rnacentral:rRNA from 1 species